GUUGCUUGUGCAUUUAUCAGCAUAAUUCAAAUCCAUAUGCUGUUCCAAUGGCUAUGGGCAUUUACCAUAGGCUGGAGAGCCCUUUGGAUAUCACUACAAGUACUAUUAUCAGGAGGAUAGUUGCUAACCAUGAAGCCUACCAGAAGCGGAAUGAGAAGAAGGAAGCUAGUGAGAAGAAGUACUAUGAGAGUAAAAGCUUUGUCAAUGGAGAGUAACUUAUGAGCAGACCUUGCAUUAAGAUUGUUGCCUGGAUCUUUUGAGAUUCCAUUUCUCCUUUGCAAAGGCAACCGUUGGGUGAUCCGCAGUUUUACCUUUUUCUCAGCAUCUUUGAUGUGUUGCUUAUAUAGCUUAGGAAGCGUCAGAUAUGGCCUUGAUGACUGAUGAGUGAGUAGCAGAGGUGACUUGGGCGAGGUUAGAGAGUCAUUUCCAUAUUUGGUUCAGUCUCACCAGCUUAUUUUGCACUGUAUAUGGGUUUUUAUGAAUGUCAUUACUGGCUGAGUUCCAUUUGAGAUCUAUAGGUUUUUCAGAUUUGUGGUACAGUAUGAAACUUUGAAUGUUAGCCUGAUUAGCUA